rnacentral:rRNA from 1 species
AUACGGAGGGUGCAAGCGUUAUCCGGAAUCAUUGGGUUUAAAGGGUCCGCAGGCGGAUUAAUAAGUCAGUGGUGAAAUCCUCUCGCUCAACGAGAGAACUGCCAUUGAAACUGUUAGUCUUGAAUUCGGUCGAAGUAGGCGGAAUGUGUCAUGUAGCGGUGAAAUGCAUGGAUAUGACACAGAACACCGAUAGCGAAGGCAGCUUACUAGACCUGGAUUGACGCUCAUGGACGAAAGCGUGGGGAGCGAACAGGAUUAGAAACCCCAGUAGUCC